CGGCGGACGGGUGAGUAAUGCCUAGGAAUCUGCCUGGUAUGGGGGACAACGUUUCGAAAGGAACGCUAAUACCGCAUACGUCCUACGGGAGAAAGCAGGGGACCUUCGGGCCUUGCGCUAUCAGAUGAGCCUAGGUCGGAUUAGCUAGUUGGUGAGGUAAUGGCUCACCAAGGCGACGAUCCGUAACUGGUCUGAGAGGAUGAUCAGUCACACUGGAACUGAGACACGGUCCAGACUCCUACGGGAGGCAGCAGGG
rnacentral:rRNA from 1 species